rnacentral:rRNA from 1 species
ACCCACAGCCAAAUCAUCCUAAAUGUGGCCAAUCUUGUCAGAUCUGGAUAACUAAGUAGAGACAAGCCUGGUUAGUGCCUGGGAAGGAAACUGGCUGGGACUGAUCAGGUGUUGGUC